UCCUAGGUAACCAUCUUACACAUUUUCCUGUCACUUUUUCGUUACACUUUUUUGCGGAAUGACACUGACCCUUCCAUAUAGGCGUAUUUACGUCAAAAAUUACAAACAUAUGUAAAAUGGAGGUUUAUGUGUCAAAUUUAAUGUAGUAUAAAUCUUUUCUAGUAGAAAUUACACAUUGGCAUAAAUCACUAAAUUGUAUAAACACAAACCUUUGCAGUCUGUAUUCACAGUCUAGCUGCCUGUGACAACUUAAUGUCACAUAUACUGCCAAACUGCUAAUUGUAGAGUUAAAGUCUGGCUGGUACAGCCACGUUGUACAGUGUUUAAAUCACCUCUUACUGUAGUUCCUGCUUACCUCACCAUAUACAUUGAAACACUUGAAGGAAAGUAGUCAUUGUAAGUUCUUCCCAGACUUUUUUGUUGAUUUAUUAUAGUUUCCAGCAGAAUGUUCAUAUAAUUUUGGGAUCUUUAAUCACAGACCAUUUCUGUAUACACCAGAUUAGUCACAAAUCAAGCUACCUUUACUGUGUUACAAAUUGUAAGGAUACAACUUCCACACUUUUCAGAAAUGUCUGUGCUUGUGCCUGCUGUGAACUUGUUCUUUUGACUAAUCUCUUCCAGAAGACGAAGAAACCUCUUUGAAGGAAGAAAACAGCAGGUGGUAGGGUGGUCUUGUAGAAAUCAGACAAGUCUGUCUGCCAUGUCACCUUCCAGGGGUAUUAGGAAGGAGAGACUGUACAUAGAUAAGAGGAUAAUAUCAAGCGGGAUAUUUGGGAAAUAGGAGUUGAAGGCGAUUGGAUUUUGCUGGCCCAGGACAGGGACCGGUGGAGGGCUUUGAUUAAUUCGGUGAUGAUACUAAAGGUUCCCUGAGCCACCUAGUUAGUUAGUUUAUUAGGAAGGAUUUUUUAAUUUAUUUGUUACAAUGUUUCCCUGCAUUCUGGUAUCAAAACAUGAACAUACUUAAUUUUUUCUGUGUUUAUGUGUAAAUCACCAUGCAUACUAGUGUGUAUUGAAGUCUGUAUGUUUCUACAAAUAUAAAUAAUUACAGAAAAUUGUUAUUAUUAUAUGGCUGUUUAUGCAAUUAAAUCAAAUGAAUU